GGAUGUGAGGGCGAUCUGGCUGCAACAGGUCACCCCCAUUGACCGUCAGGGCCGAUUCAGCUGAUCUGGCUGGCUAGGCGGUGUCCCCUUCCUCCCUCACCGCUCCAUGUGCGUCCCUCCUGAAUCUGCACACCCAGGUGAAGAUGACGUGACCAUGCCUGAUGGAGGAGGACCGUUUCCUAGGUCAGCGGUAUACGAGUAGCUGUGCUCCCCGGCUAGAGCCUCCAAAUAAGCUCUCAAAAGUAUAUGUCUUGGAGGGGGAUGGAGGAGAUGAAAUAAAAUGAAAUAAAUUUUAUUUUAAAAAGUAUA
ensembl:misc_RNA 7SK 7SK RNA